UAUCCGUUGGUGAACCAGCGGAGGGAUCAUUACCGAGUGCAAACUCAUAACCCUUUGUGAACCUAUAUCUGUUGUUUCGGCGGCUCGCUCUCGGGCGAGCCCGCCGGUAAUAUCAGUAUCUCUGUUUGAACCCGACGAUACUUCUGAGUGUUCUUAGCGAACAGUUAAAACUUUUAACAACGGAUCUCUUGGCUCUA
rnacentral:misc_RNA from 1 species